rnacentral:rRNA from 1 species
UACGUAGGGGGCAAGCGUUGUCCGGAUUUAUUGGGCGUAAAGAGCGUGUAGGCGGCUUGGCAAGUCCGCUGUGAAAACUCGAGGCUCAACCUCGAGACGUCGGUGGAAACUGCCUCGCUAGAGUCCGGAAGAGGAGAGUGGAAUUCCUGGUGUAGCGGUGAAAUGCGCAGAUAUCAGGAAGAACACCCGUGGCUAAGGCGGCUCUCUAGUACGGUACUGACGCUGAGACGCGAAAGCGUGGGGAGCGAACAGGA